GAUGAACGCUGGCGGCGUGCCUAAUACAUGCAAGUCGAGCGGACAGACGAUGAUCUUGCUCCUCGGACGUUAGCGGCGGACGGGUGAGUAACGCGUGUAUAACCUACCUAUAAGACUGGGAUAACUUCGGAAAACCGGCGCUAAUCCCGUAGAAGAUAUUGAACCGCAUGGUUCGAUGGUAAGAUACGGUUUUUGUGGAACUAAUAGAGGGAUCCGCGCCGCAUUAGCUAGUUGGUAAGGUAACGGCUUACCAAGGCAACGAUGCGUAGCCGACCUGAGAGGGUGGUAGGCGACCUGGGAAGGUGGACACGGACAAGACGACUAAGGGACGCAGCAGUAGGGAAUGUUACGCAAUGGGCGAAAGCAUGACGGAGCAAGGCCGCGUGAGUGAUGACGGUCUUCGGAGCGUAAAGAUCUGUUAUGAGGGAAGAACAACUGUGUAAGUAACCAUGCCCGUAUUGACGGUAACGAAUCAGAAAGCACCGGCUAACUACGUG
rnacentral:rRNA from 1 species